rnacentral:rRNA from 1 species
GAGUUUGAUCCUGGCUCAGAGCGAACGCUGGCGGCAGGCCUAAUACAUGCAAGUCGAGCGGCCGUAGCAAUACGGCAGCGGCAGACGGGAGAGUAACACGUGGGAACGUACCCUUUGGUUCGGAACAACCCAGGGAAACUUGGGCUAAUACCGGAUAAGUCCGUAAGGAGAAAGAUUUAUCGCCGAAGGAUCGGCCCGCGUCUGAUUAGCUUGUUGGUGAGGUAAUGGCUCACCAAGGCGACGAUCAGUAGCUGGUCUGAGAGGAUGAUCAGCCUCACUGGGACUGAGACACGGCCCAGACUCCUACGGGAGGCAGCAGUAGGGAAUAUUGGACAAUGGGCGCAAGCCUGAUCCAGCCAUGCCGCGUGAGUGAUGAAGGCCUUAGGGUUGUAAAGCUCUUUCGGCGGGGAAGAUAAUGACGGUACCCGCAGAAGAAGCCCGGCUAACUUCGUGCCAGCAGCCGCCGCAGU